rnacentral:misc_RNA from 1 species
CGAGAACGUUGAAGUACCAAAAGGUGAAACCAAUUUCCAAAUGGCCUAGAGAACAUUGAGCUUCACGGCCACUCCAAUUCAAGCAAAGCAUUAGUAGAUGUUCAGGCAAGUGGGCCAAUGAGCCUUCCUCAAAGGAGCCGGAACUUUUUUUUCUCUCUAAAAUAGAAGGUCUUCAUUGAGCAGAAAAAGCCCAUAGACCCAAUUACAAGAGGAGGGCCACGGCCAAGACAACAAAGGAUAGAGCCACAAGAAACGAAACCGAGUUCCAUACAAGAGGGCUAAGCUCAUGCCUAACAGAGCAUGGUCUUCACCCAAACCCAUGACCCGCCUGAAAGAAAGCUUCCUGCGCUGCCUAGCAUGAAACAUCCAACAGAGGAGCAAAUGGCAAGAGAACUCAUCACAUCCUAGAUCUAUCAUUUGGGUUAACGCUGAGGGAUAGAUAAUAACUUGUUACAGCACCAACAAGGAUAAUACUUGGCUCAAAUGCCUGAAGAAAAAGGAUCCCCAAAAAAACAACUGCGCAAGUUUGGGGCAGACAAGCUAGACCCAAAAAAUAAGAAAAUUAAGAAGCACUGACCAUGGAACUGAAACUACAAGGAGGGGCGUAAAGCUCGGGCCUUCUCAUUCUUCUAUAGGCUAUAAGGAACUAGUAAUACCACUAGUGUAACACCGAAAUGUUCCCGAGGUUGCCCUUCCUCAACAGAGAAACUGAAAACCAUCAAAGAAGCACACCAAGCAGAGGACCCUCCUAGAUAAGCUCAUCCUGCAAACAAAACCAUCAAAACCUAUAUACACCCGUUCAAAGGAAGGGAGGAGGAACCCACGUCCGGGUAGGGGAGGAGAAGCCCGCCCCUGCCCGAGAGGGACAGAGGACUACCGGAACAACCGACAGAGAGCGGAGACAGAGAGUCUCAGCAACCUAGAACCAGAAUACUUUCUCUCUCUAAAAUAGAGAGAGCCAUUCUCGAAUAGCUAUAUUUUUUAGAGUAAGAAGUCAGAAAUUUGGCAAAUCUAAAACUGAAUAUGUCAUCAGUAAUGUUAGACAUUAAGAGAUUUCAACUUCUCUAUUUCGAUGCUUAAAAAAAUUGAACUUUUUUCGAUUUGGGUUUCUUCUCCCAUCCACCCUUGUUCAAUAAUAAAUAAAAGUAAAUAAAAAAUAAUAUUUUUGAGACACUGAUGAAUCAUAAAAUGCUAACAAAGAGUUAAGAAUGCAAAUAAUUAUUCCCUGCAAAGUUAAAUUAGCUGUCUUCCAUUCUCCAUUGAAUUGCGCGCUAAUUGUUGAAUCCUUCACAACUACAACUUGCUUUGUUUUACGAAUUUUCUAAGCCGUUAAUUAAUAGUUAAUCAGAAACAAGAAGCAAUGUUCGUCACAUCACAUCAUGAUCUGUCCCAGAUAAUUAUAAACCCAUAAACAUAAAAAUGGCCCGGUUGUCAGCUUUUGAAUUAAUUCCCAGAGAAAAUGAUCAUACUGGAUGAACGGAAGGCACGUCCGCGCAAGUUUACUUCUUAACAAAACCCAUUAUCGUCCUCUAUUUUUCUAUGUCAAUUUUCAUGCUCGCCAACAAAUAUUAAGAAGAAGAAGAUGGAGCUUGUUAGCAGAAGCUUCAGGCUUGAAAGAGGUUCAUCGUUAAAACAAGGUAGAUCCAACAGUUCGCUCCUGAUAUCAGAAUCCCUAUCAUCAGAAUGCGCGCGAGUCGCCAGUUACCAGAGGCUGUCGGAGUCUAUGAGAAUGGACGGCGGCUAUCGGAGGAAGAAACACAAGGCUUCCGGGUUUAUAAGCAAGGUUUUCAGGAUAAUUUCAGGAUAUGAUCACGAGACAGCAAAGCAAAGAAACGCAGAGGUAACUGAGGUAGAUAAGAGGAAUAAGAAGAAAUGGUCCUCGUGGCUACCUGAUCCUGAGAGGAGAUGGCCAGUGCAGGGAUGGUGAUCUCAUAUUCUGAUGAUGUGCAAGUUGCAACUCAGCUCCCAAGUCAAUGAAAAAUCACAUGGAC